rnacentral:rRNA from 1 species
UACAGAGGUCUCAAGCGUUGUUCGGAUUCAUUGGGCGUAAAGGGUGUGUAGGUGGCGCCGUAAGUCGGGUGUGAAAUUCGGAGCUUAACUCCGAAACUGCAUUCGAUACUGCCGUGCUUGAGGACUGGAGAGGAGACUGGAAUUUACGGUGUAGCGGUGAAAUGCGUAGAUAUCGUAAGGAAGACCAGUGGCGAAGGCGGGUCUCUGGACAGUUCCUGACGUGAGGCACGAAGGCCAGGGAGCAAACGGG